AUGAACGCUAGCGACAGGCCUAACACAUGCAAGUCGAGGGGCAGCACAAGGAGCAAUCUGAGGUGGCGACCGGCGCACGGGUGAGUAACACGUAUGCAACCUGCCUGUAAGCGGGGAAUAACCCGUUGAAAGACGGACUAAUACCGCAUAAUACUAAAUUACUGCAUGGUAAUUUAUUUAAACAUUUAUGGCUUACAGAUGGGCAUGCGCAUGAUUGCUAGUUGGAGAGGUAACGGCUCCCCAAGGCAACGAUCAUUAGGGGUUCUGAGAGGAAGGUCCCCCACACUGGUACUGAGACACGGACCAGACUCCUACGGGAGGCAGCAGUGAGGAAUAUUGGUCAAUGGACGAGAGUCUGAACCAGCCAAGUCGCGUGCAGGAAGAAUGUCCUAUUGGAUUGUAAACUGCUUUUGCAAGGGGAAUAAAGUGCAUCACGUGUGAUGUUUUGUAUGUACUCUGCGAAUAAGGAUCGGCUAACUCCGUGCCAGCAGCAGC
rnacentral:rRNA from 1 species